UUUGCACUUUUACCUAAUAAUCACUAAACAUUCAAAAAGUAAUUUGAUUGAAAAAAGUAGUGACACCAACUUUGGUUUUUCAAAUAAGAACCUCAGUACGCGAGGAGUGUUCAUUAAGAACAUUUGCAUAAUUAACUUGUAUUUGAUACUGAGUGGAUCAUUUUAAAUCGGAAAGAAAUUGCUUGUAGAAAAGUUUGCACAACAAAUCGAGGGGUAUUUUGCAACUAAAAUAGUACGAGGAAGUGAUGGCUUGUGUCUCUAGGUACAUCCAAAAUGCAUUUGUUUUUUCUUGGUUU